AACGCGAAGAACCUUACCUACCCUUGACAUGUAUGGAAUCCUGCUGAGAGGUGGGAGUGCCCGAAAGGGAGCCAUAACACAGGUGCUGCAUGGCUGUCGUCAGCUCGUGUCGUGAGAUGUUGGGUUAAGUCCCGCAACGAGCGCAACCCUUGUCCUGUGUUGCCAUCAUUCAGUUGGGAACUCGCAGGAGACCGCCAGCGAUAAGCUGGAGGAAGGUGGGGAUGACGUCAAGUCCUCAUGGCCUUUAUGUCCAGGGCUACACACGUGCUACAAUGGCCGGUACAAAGCGCCGCAAACCCGCGAGGGGGAGCCAAUCGCAAAAAACCGGUCUCAGUUCGGAUUGCAGGCUGCAACCCGCCUGCAUGAAGCUGGAAUCGCUAGUAAUGGCAGAUCAGCACGCUGCCGUGAAUACGUUCCCGGGCCUUGUACACACCGACUGUAC
rnacentral:rRNA from 1 species